GACGAACGCUGGCGGCGUGCUUAACACAUGCAAGUCGAACGAAGUGGCGAACGGGUGAGUAACGCGUAAUCAACCUGCCCUUCAGAGGGGGACAACAGUUGGACACGACUGCUAAUACAGCAUAAUGUAGGAGGGGCUUGCGUCUGAUUAGCUAGUUGGAGGGGUAACGGCCAACCAAGGCGAUGAUCCGUAGCCGGUCUGAGAGGAGGAACGGCCAAAUUUGGACUGGGACACGGCCCAGACUCCUACGGGAGGCAGCAGUGGGGAAUCUUCCGCAAUGGACGAAAGUCUUACGGAGCAACGCCGCGUGAGUUAUGACGGCCUUCGGGUUGUAAAGCUCUGUUAAUCGGGACGCGGUACCGGAAUAGAAAGCCACGGCUAACUACGUGCCAGCAGCCGCGGUAAUUC
rnacentral:rRNA from 1 species